rnacentral:rRNA from 1 species
UACGAAGGGGGCUAGCGUUGCUCGGAAUUACUGGGCGUAAAGGGCGCGUAGGCGGACAGUUAAGUCAGGCGUUAAAGCCCAGGGCUCAACCUUGGAAUCGCUUUUGAUACUGGCUGUCUUGAGUACGGGAGAGGUGUGUGGAACUCCGAGUGUAGAGGUGAAAUUCGUAGAUAUUCGGAAGAACACCAGUGGCGAAGGCGACACACUGGCCCGUUACUGACGCUGAGGCGCGAAAGCGUGGGGAGCAAACAGG